UCCUCCCUCUUUCUUCGUGCUUAACACAUGCAAGUCGAACGGAAAGGCUCUAGCUUGCUGGCGUACUCGAGUGGCGAACGGGUGAGUAACACGUGGGUAAUCUGCCCUGCACUCUGGGAUAAGCCUGGGAAACUGGGUCUAAUACUGGAUAUGACCUUUCUCCUUAUGGGGUUGGGUGGAAAGUUUUUCGGUGUAGGAUGAGCCCGCGGCCUAUCAGCUUGUUGGUGGGGUGAUGGCCUACCAAGGCGACGACGGGUAGCCGGCCUGAGAGGGUGAUCGGCCACAUUGGGACUGAGAUACGGCCCAGACUCCUACGGGAGGCAGCAGUGGGGAAUAUUGCACAAUGGGCGGAAGCCUGAUGCAGCGACGCCGCGUGAGGGAUGACGGCCUUCGGGUUGUAAACCUCUUUCAGCAGGAACGAAGCGUAAGUGACGGUACCUGCAGAAGAAGCACCGGCUAACUAUGUG
rnacentral:rRNA from 1 species